rnacentral:lncRNA from 1 species
AACAAGUUGCUAAUAAAUAAUACUAGUUUAGGAUCUGCGUUUCGUGGCGGAUCGAUAGUAUUUCAGUCAAUCAACAUAUAUAAUUAUUAAAAUUAAAAAUUAAAAAUAUAAUAAAAUAUAAAAAAAUUCAUAUAGCCUUCUAUACAUUAUGAAAUUAUUUUUUUUUAUUAAUAUUUUUUAACUUUCAGUAUUUGUAGAUAUAUAAUUAUUAAAAUUAAAAAUUAAAAAUAUAAUAAAAAAUAAAAAAAUUCAUAUAGCCUUCUAUACAUUAUGAAACUAAUCUUUUUUUAUUAAUAUUUUUUAACUUUCAGUAUUUAUAGAGUUAAAGUAUUCUAAUAACUUCACUUAAAAAUUCAAUCAAACUUAGUAGUAUUAGUAGCUAUUCUAUAAAUAAAUUUUUAAUUAAAACGUUAAAAU